CACUCCUGCGGGAGGCAGCAGUGGGGAAUUUUGGACAAUGGGCGAAAGCCUGAUCCAGCAAUGCCGCGUGAGUGAAGAAGGCCUUCGGGUUGUAAAGCUCUUUUGUCAGGGAAGAAACGGUGAGAGCUAAUAUCUUUUGCUAAUGACGGUACCUGAAGAAUAAGCACCGGCUAACUACGUGCCAGCAGCCGCGGUAAUACGUAGGGUGCAAGCGUUAAUCGGAAUUACUGGGCGUAAAGCGUGCGCAGGCGGUUUUGUAAGUCUGAUGUGAAAUCCCCGGGCUCAACCUGGGAAUUGCAUUGGAGACUGCAAGGCUAGAAUCUGGCAGAGGGGGGUAGAAUUCCACGUGUAGCAGUGAAAUGCGUAGAUAUGUGGAGGAACACCGAUGGCGAAGGCAGCCCCCUGGGUCAAGAUUGACGCUCAUGCACGAAAGCGUGGGGAGCAAACAGGAUUAGAAACCCUUGUAGUCCC
rnacentral:rRNA from 1 species